rnacentral:rRNA from 1 species
AGAGUUUGAUCCUGGCUCAGGAUGAACGCUAGCUACAGGCUUAGCACAUGCAAGUCGAGGGGAAACGACAUCGAAAGCUUGCUUUUGAUGGGCGUCGACCGGCGCACGGGUGAGUAACGCGUAUCCAACCUGCCCACCACUUGGGGAUAACCUUGCGAAAGUAAGACUAAUACCCAAUGACGUCUCUAGAAGACAUCUGAAGGAGAUUAAAGAUUUAUCGGUGAUGGAUGGGGAUGCGUCUGAUUAGCUUGUUGGCGGGGUAACGGCCGACCAAGGCGACGAUCAGUAGGGGUUCUGAGAGGAAGGUCCCCGACAUUGGAACUGAGACACGGUCCAAACUCCUCGGGAAGCA